GAUGAACGCUGGCGGCGUGCCUAAUACAUGCAAGUCGAGCGAAUGGAUUAAGAGCUUGCUCUUAUGAAGUUAGCGGCGGACGGGUGAGUAACACGUGGGUAACCUGCCCAUAAGACUGGGAUAACUCCGGGAAACCGGGGCUAAUACCGGAUAACAUUUUGAACCGCAUGGUUCGAAAUUGAAAGGCGGCUUCGGCUGUCACUUAUGGAUGGACCCGCGUCGCAUUAGCUAGUUGGUGAGGUAACGGCCCACCAAGGCAACGAUGCGUAGCCGACCUGAGAGGGUGGUCGGCCACACUGGGACUGAGACACGGCCCAGACUCCGCCGGGAGGCAGCAGUAGGGAAUCUUCCGCAAUGGACGAAAGUCUGACGGAGCAACGCCGCGUGAGUGAUGAAGGCUUUCGGGUCGUAAAACUCUGUUGUUAGGGAAGAACAAGUGCUAGUUGAAUAAGCUGACACCUUGACGGUACCUAACCAGAAAGCCACGGCUAACUACGUGCCAGCAGCCGCAGUAA
rnacentral:rRNA from 1 species